UUAAAUUGAAGAGUUUGAUCAUGGCUCAGAUUGAACGCUGGCGGCAGGCCUAACACAUGCAAGUCGAGCGGCAGCGGGAAAGUAGCUUGCUACUUUUGCCGGCGAGCGGCGGACGGGUGAGUAAUGCCUGGGAAAUUGCCCAGUCGAGGGGGAUAACAGUUGGAAACGACUGCUAAUAC
rnacentral:rRNA from 1 species